CUUCUCUUCUAUGUCAGAUCUCUCUCUGCUUCUCUUACUGGAAGGAUGUUUGGAAGUGCAUUUAAAGUCACCUGUAUAGUCCAAGUCCCCAUCUUAACAUCCUGAAACAGUUACAUUUGCAGAGUGUUUUGCUGUAAGUAUAAGGUAACCUUACAGGUUCCAGCGAUUAGGACAUGGAUCUCUCUUCUAGGACUUUUUGGCCCAUAAAGCCACCAUCAUCUUUGCUGUGGUCUGAGUCCGUGCCCUUCUAAUGAGUCUGCCUUCUCCUUUUACUGUUAUCACCAAGUAGGAAAGUGACUUUGAGGGAGCAGGUCUCUAGCUUAAAACCUUGCCAUUCUCCUUUAAAGCCUUUUAAAUCCUUAUUGUUGCCACAAGGCCCUAUUUGAGCUGAUCCUUGGCUGCUGCUGAAGUAGCUCCAUCCACAUUUCCCCACAUUGUCCCCUCUCCUAACCACAACAUCUCCUUGCUAUUUCUAACAUAUGCCAAGCGUACUGGAGGGGUUCUUUUUUCUCUGAAGAGAACUUAUCAUACUUCUUCAUGUCGUUGCUUCCUUCUCAUCAUGUAAACCUCAGCUGCAAAGUUACCCAUUCAGAAAUGUAUCUUUAUUCUCUACCCCACUUGCCCCUGUUCUUUUUAAAGUUUUUAUUAGUGCAUGUUUGCAGUAGAUACGGUUCCAUUCAUUGUAGGGAAUUGGUUCAUGUACAUAGCACAACUCAAUUCUGUUUUUUCCCCUUCCCCCUUUUAUUUUUUUGCCAGCAUCAUAUUAAUUUAUCUUAUACAUCCUUAUAAAGUUAAUUAUUGUACAUACAGAUUAACAAUCAUCUCCCCAUUCUAUCUCCUUAACAGUACUCAGUCGUUCUCUGAAAUUGUCUUAGGGACUUGUCUGUUGGUGUAUGAUUGCUUGGCUAGCCCAGGCUUCUCUACAACCUAGACACCCCAAACGGCAUGGAAUCCACCCAGGGGUGACCCACCCACUCUUGGGGUAAGCCCAGAUGUCCUGUCCACGUUCCUCAUGAUUUGUGUACCAACCAGUGAUUCAACGUACCUGUCUGACUGGUAAAAGAUGGGAAGGAAGAUCACCCACCUUGUUCCAGAUGUCUGUAAAACUCUAGUUUCCGUGUCCCUUGGCGUGAAAUUGGCACAGGAGGAAAAGACAUAACACUCCCAGCCCUGCUAGUAUCUGAAGCUCGAGUUCGUGUUCUCUAAAAUCGAAGAAUGAAUUCUAGGAACAGUGGAGGUUGAGUAGGAAAAUUUAAUGAAAGAAAGCUACUGUCUAAGAGAGACAAAGGGGACCAGAAAGUGGAUUGCCCGGCCGGCCACCCCACUUUUCAAAGGUGUUUUGUACAGCAAAGCCGUGUGGUGAGGCAGGUACAAAGCAGGACAAAAGUAUAAGACCCAGUGGAAAUUUACGAGGUGGGCAUGAGGUGGGACAAAACUGUGACCAACCAAUAAGAUUACAAAUACAGUCGCCCAGGUAAUACUGAUUAAAUGGAAGUCAAAUGGGGGAGCAAGUCACAGAGCAAGCGUGGAAGGAACUGAGCAAGGAUUUUUAGUGGAAAGGGGUGGGUCAGGGAUCUAUCUUGAUCUUUGUCCCCCACCCAGGUGGUUGAUACCUAUUUAGAAUAUCAAUCACUGCUGUUCAUCCUUAGGGGAGGCAUGUGGGAGUGGUAGUUUCUGUGUUUUUAUAGUGCUGGCCUUCAGUGAAUGUGUCUUGCUUGUCCUCCCUGUUGGCUCCUUCUGGAGUGGCUCCAACUGCCUACAAGAUAUUUAAUUAACUUACCUACCUGCAAUA
rnacentral:lncRNA from 1 species